CAUGAGGCCUCCCUCCCCUUAGCGCAGGCCUGGGCUCUCUGUUCCCCCAGUCCCCAAAACUCUCCCCUGCACCCCACCUGACCCCUGUAGGCUGUCUGUUCAAGGCCUCUGCUGGAGCAUCCAGGAUACAGAGGGCAGUGACCUGUCCAGCCCCCGGCUGGCCUAGGCCUUCUCCAUCCAUGGACCCCUGUAGCCUUUCACCGAAGGGGACUUUGGGGUCCAGGUGCCCUGGGGAUGGAGGUGAGGUUAACAACGACCUCUGGAAGACUGGGCACCUGUCCGUGACUGAGAGCAGGCCCAGCCAGGCAUUCCCUGCUGUGGUUGGGGGACCGGGGCUGGGACGGGGUAGGGGGGCAGUCAAACUCAAGGGGGCCGCCGAGGCCCUGCCACCGCCCACCCCGUAGGCGCCCCCCAGGGAUCAGGCCACUCACAGGCGGCCUUGUCUCAGGCAAAGGGAGGAGGAGGGUGCAGAGAAACCGGCCGGAGGGGGUCCUGGGCCUGUGGGCAGAGGCAAGUGGAGGCGCCAGUGUCCGCAGCUCUGCUCCCCAGGGACAAGGCCCCACAGGGCCCAGGCGCCCCCUCCUCCCCAGGUCCUGACCACAGCUGCCAUGCUGUGUCCCUGAAGCUGCCAUAGCAGCGUGGCACCGAGGCUGCCUUGGCACAGUUGCCCUGGGCAGAGCAGAGAGGAGGUGGUGGCUAGGGGUGCCCCUGGGGAAGGUCCCCCUGGGGAAGGUCCCCCAGGAUGGCCACAGGGAAGCCGUUCAGGCAGGGGGGCAGGACCAGGCGCAGUAGCCGCCUGGAGCCCCCCGGGACCCGCUCGCACUGCAGCGGCCGGGGGGCUACUGCGCAGGUGGGCCAGGGCUGCCUCCCCUGAGCUAUGGGGGUCGCUCACCCCACAGGCCCUGAUCCGCAUGCAGCCCCUGGCAGGCCUGGGCCUGGGGCUUUAACACCUGAAAGCCGGAGUGGCACCGGUGCCCCCUCCUUCUUCCCUCCAGCCAAAGCGGGUGGGGGCCGCGCAAGGCCGAAGGGGAGAGAAAACCAGAGCGAGCUUCUUUCCCCUUUAAGAGCCCUGAUGGCCGCCGCCCAGACCCAGCGGCCCGGGGACGAAAAUGUCGCGAAAGAUUCCCUUCCGAACUUCCCGAGUCUUUGUUCGGGAGGAGGCCGGGGCGGGCGGCUUCGCUGGGCGGAGGGCCGCGGGCUGAGCCGUGCGCUCCAUGGCGGCCACGGUCACGGCGGCGGCGGCGGCGGCGGCGGCGGCGCCCCCCGCGCUCGCCCCCCGGGGCGCCCCCUCCCGGCCCGAGCCCGGGCCCGGCCCCCGGCCCCGGCCCCCGCCGGCCGCGGGGGGCGCCGAGGGCUAGGGCGGGAGAGCGGGCGCCGCUUACCAGGUCAUCCCGGAGUGCCCCGCGGUCCCGCCGGAGUCAAGUUCACGUCCGGCCGGCGGACUGUCCGAGGUCCCGGCGCGGCCGCGCAGAGCGAGGCCGCGAGAGGCCGCCGGCCCGGGUCACGCCGCACGCGGCCCCGCGGCGCCGCUGUCACCCCGGUCCCGCGACCCCAACUUUCCACACAGUCGCGGAGCUGGAAGUUUCCGGGCUUCGUGGGCGCUGGGCUGGGUUUCUGCAGUGUCGUCUGAGCUUGGCAACAAAGAGGGAAAGCAGGCCGGGAGAGGGGAGGAAAGAAAGAAAUACGAUGGGGAGAGGCCCGGCUACUGAGAAAUCUCCGGGACUUGAAAUUCCACCCGAAGCUUUUUUUGGAUGUUUUUUCUUAGGUGGUAAACACCCCCCGCAGCUCAGGAUGGAGCCCCUCCUCUGGUCCCGUGGCUGAGGCACCUUCCUCGGCACCUGCCUGUUUUAUAACCCACUCCAAAGCGUCUUGGGCAAAUUUUGGGGGUGGGGGGGAGUGAGGUGGGCACAAGAUGCUUCCUGAAAGGUGGUUGAUCUCAGUGCAGCUGCAGCAGGCCUGGGCUCGGAGGGGCUCCCUCUUGUCCUCCCAGCAAACCAGCUUGGGUCAGCUGCUCCAAGCAGCUCCCCUGUGUUUCUGUCCUGGGAGAAGAGGGACAGCUGGGACCACCACCCCCCCCCACCGUGUCCAGGAGAGGACCUGGGCUCCGUAAAGGGUCGAGGGCCCUGGGCCCACCUGCCCCCAGCCCACAGGUGCCGUAAACAGAGGACCCAGUCCUUGCCCUCUACGCAGCUGUUCUAUGUGUGAGGUGGGAGGACUCCCAGUAACCUGGAAGCUCAGGCCUCCUCUUCUCGGGAGUUCCCUGGCUGCUGGUACCAGGGUCCCGGGAAUGUGUCUGGGCUGGAGGGGGAAGCUGAGUGUCCCCAGGCCUCGGAACCUUCGCAGUGGCCUAGCCCAGUCCCUUCAAGGGCCGUCUGAGCACUGGAACAGGAGCUGAGGGGCACAAAGCAUCAGCUGUCACUCGGCCUUGGGAUACUCCUGCCCUGCCCUGUUCAUCAGUUUGUCUGUCCGUCCUUCCCUGCAAAGACAUAUUUAUGGAGAAAACAGUCCCAGGCCUGCUAUGCCAGAGCUCUGUGAAAGGCUGGGAGAAUGAGGUUGUUUGGUUUUUUGUUUAAAGAAAAAUGAGCAAGGGGACCGUGGAGACAGGUUGGGGGUUGGAGUAGGGGGCGGGAUAUGUUGGCUCUCGUCCCUCCAGGUGCCAGAGAGCUUCUCCGCUCAGUGCACAUUUGCCCUUCCAAUGAUUUCUCAGAUGUGAUUCUUUCUAGAGUUGGUCCUGGAUGCCCACGUGUAGUUCACAGAAGAGGCUGCGCCUGGGGGCACCUGAUGGAUGCAGCCCAUCCACCUGGAAACUUCAGAACUUACCAUGGGGCUGAGACCAUAGAAGGGGCAGAGGUGGGCAGGUCAUCCUGGGGCUGGCUGGGGCAGCGUGUGGAGCGGGUGUUCAGAGCCACAGAUCUUUGUCAGCUUAUGUACCUAGGCUGCCAGUUCAUCCCCAGGGCCCACAGUUUGCCUCAUCUGGGGAAAAAUCCACCUGCCAAUGAAGUCCAAGAUCGUUUCCCAGAAGGGGUAUUUUCACAGGAACAAGCGUUUAUCUCCAAGACCUCGGCUGGUCAGCCGUGCACGCUCCAGCAGAGCACCGAAGAUCCAUCGGGGCUCAGCGCCAGGGCGCCUCCUGGAGACUGAAAAAUGCCUCCAGAACCGCAUGUCUUCCUGGAGCUUGAACCCACCCAUUUGCUUUCUGAUGUGUGGUCACUGGUGCUCAGUUUGUCCCCAAAGGGGAUGUCACCCUAGCUCCAUGAAAAACCGCCAAGACCCUGUUCGGCCUGGCUUCAUGGGCACGUAGCCUGUGCAGUCAUCCCAUGCUCUAUGCUCUGCUGUCUCUGUCUUAAAGUUCUUUUUUUUUAAAUCAAUAUUUUUAUUUAUCAAUAUAUUUUUUUAUUU